AUACCUUUCUCGGCCUUUUGGCUAAGAUCAAGUGUAGUAUCUGUUCUUAUCAGUUUAAUAUCUGAUAUGUGGGCCAUUGGUCCACACGAUAUUAAAUUACUUUUUUGAAGGGGAGAGUCCAUUACAGUAGCUUGCUACUGGGUCUCUCAAGUGUCGCCCUUGCGUUGCACUAUUGCAUGGGCCUAGCACACCCUAC
rfam:Cajanus cajan chromosome 11, whole genome shotgun sequence.